AAAAGUUUCUAAGUUUAGCUAAUGUUGCCCGUACCGUAAACCGACACAGGUGGGUGGGAUGAGUAUUCUAAGGCGCGUGGAAGAACUCUCUUUAAGGAACUCUGCAAAAUAGCACCGUAUCUUCGGUAUAAGGUGUGGUUCGCUUCGUAUUAGGAUUUACUCCGAAAGCGAAGAAACUUACAACAAAGAGUCCCUCCCGACUGUUUACCAAAAACACAGCACUCUGCUAACUCGUAAGAGGAUGUAUAGGGUGUGACGCCUGCCCGGUGCUCGAAGGUUAAUUGAUGGGGUUAGCAUUAGCGAAGCUCUUGAUCGAAGCCCGAGUAAACGGCGGCCGUAACUAUAACGGUCCUAAGGUAGCGAAAUUCCUUGUCGGUUAAAUACCGACCUGCAUGAAUGGCGUAACGAGAUGGGAGCUGUCUCAAAGAGGGAUCCAGUGAAAUUGUAGUGGAGGUGAAAAUUCCUCCUACCCGCGGCAAGACGGAAAGACCCCGUGGACCUUUACUACAGCUUGACACUGCUACUUGGAUAAGAAUGUGCAGGAUAGGUGGGAGGCUUUGAGUAUAUGACGCCAGUUGUAUAUGAGCCAUUGUUGAGAUACCACUCUUUCUUAUUUGGGUAGCUAACCAGCUUGAGUUAUCCUCAAGUGGGACAAUGUCUGGUGGGUAGUUUGACUGGGGCGGUCGCCUCCCAAAUAAUAACGGAGGCUUACAAAGGUUGGCUCAGAACGGUUGGAAAUCGUUCGUAGAGUAUAAAGGUAUAAGCCAGCUUAACUGCAAGACAUACAAGUCAAGCAGAGACGAAAGUCGGUCUUAGUGAUCCGGUGGUUCUGUGUGGAAGGGCCAUCGCUCAAAGGAUAAAAGGUACCCCGGGGAUAACAGGCUGAUCUCCCCCAAGAGCUCACAUCGACGGGGAGGUUUGGCACCUCGAUGUCGGCUCAUCGCAUCCUGGGGCUGGAGCAGGUCCCAAGGGUAUGGCUGUUCGCCAUUUAAAGCGGUACGCGAGCUGGGUUCAGAACGUCGUGAGACAGUUCGGUCCCUAUCUGCCGUGGGCGUAAGAAGAUUGAAGAGAUUUGACCCUAGUACGAGAGGACCGGGUUGAACAAACCACUGGUGUAGCUGUUGUUCUGCCAAGAGCAUCGCAGCGUAGCUAAGUUUGGAAAGGAUAAACGCUGAAAGCAUCUAAGCGUGAAGCCAACUCUAAGAUGAAUCUUCUCUAAGCUCUCUAGAAGACUACUAGUUUGAUAGGCUGGGUGUGUAAUGGAUGAAAGUCCUUUAGCUGACCAGUACUAAUAGAGCGUUUGGCUUAUCUUUAAUAAAGCAU
rnacentral:rRNA from 1 species